rnacentral:rRNA from 1 species
GACAGAGGAGGCGAGCGUUAUCCGGAGUUAUUGGGCGUAAAGGGUACGUAGGCGGCUGGUCAAGUCUGGGGUUAAAGACUACAGCUAAACUGUGGGGUGGCCUUGGAAACUGACAGGCUGGAGUGGGGCAGGGGUUGCGGGAAUUCCCGGUGUAGCGGUGAAAUGCGUAGAUAUCGGGAAGAACACCUGAGGCGAAAGCGCUCAACUGGGCCCUAACUGACGCUGAGGUACGAAAGCUAGGUGAGCGAAUGGG